UAGGGUGGUUAUAGCGACGGGGCUCACCUUUAUCCAUUCCGAACAGAGCAGUUAAGCCCGUCAGCGCAGAUGGUACUGCCAUAUGGUGGGAGAGUAUGUCGCCGCCUUCU
rnacentral:rRNA from 1 species